rnacentral:misc_RNA from 1 species
CUACACUAAUACCUCCCAAAUGAUUGGCCCCAAUUGAGCAGCAGCUAUUCUUCGUACUUAGUUGCUUUCCCAAAAUCUUUUGGUGUGUCUGACAGCGGAACCAGAGACAGGAUAUUCUUGCCAGUGCUCUCUUGCCAGCAACCCGAACUCGAUAGACCACACUUAGAUCCCAUAUCUCUCUUCUCACAGCAUCUGAUUCAUGAGUGGGGUCAAACCCAUCAAGGUCUGACUCUGUAACGACGACUACAGAACCAUCAUCAAAAGCCACAAGAUCCUGUGAU